AAGGGUAUUGUUUUGUUUACAUCACGUGUCGAUGCGUGUUUUCGCCAGUGGUUUUCGCGAAGGCGUCAUCCACGUCUUUUUCUGAAGGACGCUGCAGACAUCAUCACAACUACGUGCAUGGCAUGCCGGUACAGCUGCAUCAACAGGUGUAGCAGUAAACUUUGGAACAUUUUUCUGUGUUGACUGUCCUUCAUCCUGCCUUACCCGACUAGAAGCCCUGCAAAAAAGACGAUAUAGAAGAAGCUAUGGGGGCAACCUACGUGCACAUGGGCUGGCUGGCCUUGCUGAUUGCUGUGUUUGGACUGUUUUAUUAUGCCCUGGCAGUGUACUGGAUGCCUGUCAGGAACUGUGUCAUAUUCGUGUUCUGUUGCAAAAGACCAGACCCCGACGAGAUGGAUAGAGGUCGCGGACAGGGUGCAGACACUGAAUCAGGACUCUAUCCAAGCAUUGGUAAUCCUCCGCCUUAUGAGCCUCCACCUUCGUACGAAUCAAUUAUGAAGAGUGAGCAUAUCAAACAGUAGACAAGGGCACUUGUUUGUGCCAUAUUCCAAGACAUUGACGGCUGUGGUGAUAUUGCGGGUCCUUAUUGCGAGGACUCAUCGAGCUUCCUGUCAUGAAUUGUUGACCUCCUUUACUGCAAGCUUGCUGCAUAUGCUUGCCUGAGCCCAAGUUUUAUAAUUCAAUGGCAUAUUGUUUUAAGAUGCCAAACACAGUACCUGCUGGCUUUGAUAUACAUAUUUUGCUAAUUAGCAGUGAUGAUAAAUCAUGCUGCAAGUCUACAAAGUGCUCAGCGUUCCAGACGUGACUGCAAUCUGGAGAAUUGCACACCUUUCUUAUAUGUGAAUACACAAGCUCCAGGUUCUGGGACAUCAGUUGUCAGGACAUACUCAGGACAUAUUUCUGUUCCUGAAAUAGUUCUCUGGAAGGCAAACAUAUUCAACAUAUUGUGGAUGCUUUGCGGGUGCUUGAACUUUGAACUAGUCAGUGCAUGAGUUGCAUACCGCCAUGUGUUCAGUCAUGCCAUAAUUAAGUGUACAGCGCAGCAGAAUAUUGUUUUUAGAGUGAAUGGAUUUUUUAAUUGUUGAAUGUAAUGAGUACAUGUUUGUUGUAGCAUGCUUCCUGCAUUUAUCUGCAAGUCUGCACAUGCAAGGUGAUAUGACUGACCGAGACCCUUGCCAUAUGAAAGUAAAAUUGGUAAUGAAGUCAGAGUAUUUCAACUUUAAGAGGAAAACUUAUUACCUUUUCAUCUUCUCUUUCUUCGUUUUACCUUACCUUGUGUGAUGCAAGUUCCUAUGGCUUCCAUAAAUGAAUGACUCCUUCUAUACGGUGGAAAGGAGAACUAAUCUGGCUUUUUCAAUGGCUUUGGUGACUUUUUCUAUGGCUGCCGUACUUCAAAUCUUUUUAUUAGUUCGUUUAAUUGCAACAGAUCUAGCGUUUACUGUCUUUUGAAUGUUGUUGACAGUUGCACUAGAAUCCGCAGAUAGCCUUUUUUGAGUGUGAUGGGAAAAACAGCAAAUUUUUCACGGGACAAGAAUGUAGUGAUAGCAGUAAACUUGCAUUUCUAUGGGCCUGCCAGUCAGAGGUCUAGUAAAAACCAAUAUUUUUGUAACUGUGGCACACAGCAGUGCUGCUAAUGCAUGUGUUCUUACAAUCAGAAGGCCAUCAAGAACACACACACACACACAGAGACGCACACACAAAAAAUCAUUCAACAAAUGCACGAAUCAUUGCCAUUCCUACUGCUUGGCUCUCCUAGUUCCACCUCACGCACAAUGCACUAUUUUUUCAGACUUUAGGGACAUCUCUCAACUCGAGGGGCAAAAUCUGUUUCACAGGAUAAGUCAGUGGGACUGCAGGAGACCAGACAUGGAUAAAUAGGGAUUGAAUUAUAUCUUCAAGAGCAUUUCAGCAAAAGAUUUCAGUCCAUAUUUUUCUAUUCUCUACAUCGCCACAAAUAAACUAGACAAUCCAGACAAUCUCUAUGCACUAAAUUUUUUGUGUCAGGUGCAACUAAAAGUUAAUGGGCACACCUCUUCUAUAAUUUGCCCCAUUUUUUUUUUCCUGUUUGUCAGGAUAACACGAUAAAACGUUUCACCUUCUUGUGGCAGUCGUCAACAAGCAUAUCUCGAAACACAUUUUUCUUGUACUUCUACUGUCUUCAGCUUUUUAAGUAAAAGCCAUUUUCAGAACACCAAGGCCAGGCAAGGUGUAUUGUAUUUCUUCGGUGGCAAUUUAUAGAUUUAGUGUGAUUGAUUUUGCAAUGACAAUGAGUUGUUCCUAGAACUGUUUCAUGUUAUGUAGUGACAAAGAAAACAAAGAUCAUCCUAUUUCUAAACUAUUUUCUAACCUAUUUCUGAAACCAGAAACAAUGUGGAAAUAUUUUUAACAAAGUGCUUUUGUCCUCUGACAUUGGAAUGUGUGUUUUCACUGGCAACCACGCCACCACCAAGACACUGUACCAAGACAACUUAUACCACGCAUAACUCAUACGAAGACAACUCGUACCACGCUCAACUCGUACCACGCUCAACUCGUACCAAGACAACUCGUACCAUGCUCAAAUCAUACCACGCUCAACUUUUCCUUUUCUUUUCUUUUUUGCGGGAAGCAGGUUGUUUUUGGGAGUAGCUUUUCGAAUUCAAAACGCAAGUCACGCUGGGAGAGGCUAUAUCAGGAAAAAAUGUCACAGAAUUUCAGUACUUCUGAAGGAAAUGUAAGAAUUCCACAAACGACAUUUACCGAGGCGCUCUGAGAGAUAGUUAAAAUGCACUACAGAAUAUGGUUAUUGGAGAGAGGGGGAUUUUGAGCAGAAAUCAAAUCGAAAUUGUCCCACAUUUUUGUCGUCGUGUGGAAUACUUCGGAGUUUCUCAGUGUACACUUGGCCGCUUGCAAGAAUAGAAGGCUUAUUCCUCAAUGACCUUAAUUGUGGACAGCCGAGAAGCCUUUCAGGAGAAAUCAGACGAAUUCACCAGACUUUGAGGUGGCUGUUUAGUUCUUCCCGCCAUUCCACUAAAGUUCUACUAAGUGUGUCUGUCCAUCAUGAAGAAUGGGUUGCUAGUCCUUGGCUGAUGUCUGUCACGCAAGGGCAUUGCGAAGACAACGUCUGUAGAAGCGUGCCAACGGACACUUUGCAAAUAUAAUUGUAAAGGGCUUGAAUACGGAUUAAGUCCAUUGAUCACGUAUUCAGAAGAUUAGUGUUCCAUGCGACGACGAUAAUGUGGGACAUUUUCGAUUUAGUUUCUAUAACAAAAAUUCCUCGUUUCCAAUUACAAUUGCAGUGUGCUUUAACUAUCCUUCAGUGUGCAUCGUCAAAAGUCAUUUUGGGAUUGGUACAUUUCCUUCGGUAUAAGUGACAUCCUGUGACAUUUUUUUCCUGAUGUGGCCUUUCCCGAUGUGACUUAAAUUUGAAUGGUACAAGAAAAAAGCUAAUCUCAUAAUUAGCACUCCUUCCCGCAAAAAGAAAAAAAAAGCAAAGUGUAACAUAUGAGCUUGCUUGGUAUGAGUUGUCCUCGUACAAGUUGUUCCUGUAUGACUUGUCCCGGUAUAAGUUGUCUUGGUACGAGCCGGGGUGAAGCGUUUUCAUUGCUGUGCAUGAAACAUGUAAAUAAGAAAUAACAUGAAGCGAAGUUAUAGUAGUGGCCGUCCGAAUGUUGCCGUCCAUGCUGCAAUUGCUACAUAAAUAUAAUGAAGCAUGUUAUAUGAGAGAAUGAACUGGUCUCUGUGGACAUUGACCAAUGAAUGAAUAAAGUGAUUCAUGUGCCAAACGUCA